AAAGCGAAAUAAUUAGUUUUCUCGCGCGUUAGUGGCGCCACCACCACCGAACUUGGUACGCUCAUCGAACAGCACUCAUUACACAUGGGGACACAGUUUCAUGGCGGCCGUCAAAGUUGCAUGUUGUCGAGACGACCGCGACACUUCUUGUGGUACCUAGCCUCGUACGCGAAAGGCACGAGUGUUUCAUUAAGGCCCAGGUGGACAGUACGUCUACCCUGUGAUUUGUUUUAGCGGCCAACUACCCUGUCCCGAGCGAACACUGGUGUGCCUCGAAGCGGAGACAAUAGAAGUAUCGAGCUUGAAGGAGGGUGUCAUGACAUUCAUUGCACUUUAUUGGCUGAUGUACAUUGAGUUCAUGCCAAAGUGGGUUUCAAUACUGCAACUGUUCUGCGCUCUAAUGAAUGUUUCCCUGGCUAGACUGAACCCGUAUGUUAAAGCUGCAAUUUCAUCGCUGCGAUAGGUCUUCCAAAUAAAGAUUUGCAACCU